rnacentral:rRNA from 1 species
GGAUGAACGCUGGCGGCGUGCCUAAUACAUGCAAGUCGAGCGAACGGACGAGAAGCUUGCUUCUCUGAUGUUAGCGGCGGACGGGUGAGUAACACGUGGAUAACCUACCUAUAAGACUGGGAUAACUUCGGGAAACCGGAGCUAAUACAGGAUAAUAUUUUGAACCGCAUGGUUCAAAAGUGAAAGACGGUCUUGCUGUCACUUAUAGAUGGAUCCGCGCUGCAUUAGCUAGUUGGUAAGGUAACGGCUUACCAAGGCAACGAUGCAUAGCCGACCUGAGAGGGUGAUCGGCCACACUGGAACUGAGACACGGUCCAGACUCCUACGGGAGGCAGCAGUAGGGAAUCUUCCGCAAUGGGCGAAAGCCUGACGGAGCAACGCCGCGUGAGUGAUGAAGGUCUUCGGAUCGUAAAACUCUGUUAUUAGGGAAGAACAUAUGUGUAAGUAACUGUGCACAUCUUGACGGUACCUAAUCAGAAAGCCACGGCUAACUACGUG